rnacentral:pre_miRNA from 1 species
AAAAAGACAAACCCUGGUUUCCGUGUCCAACGUUUGACCGUCCGUCCUAUUUGAAAAAAAUAUGAAAAAAAUUAAAAAGACAAGUCACGUAUAAAAUAUUAAUCAUGUUUUAUCAUCUAACAACAAUGAAAAUACAAAUUAUAAAAAAAAUUCAUAUAAGACGGACAGUCAAAGUUGGACACGGAAACCCACAGUUUGCUUUUUU